UGUAAUUGUUUGGUGCUAUUGUUUUUUUGAGCUUCAAUGACUGCUUAAAUCCAUAAUAUUAUAAUUUAAUGUUAGUUUUGUAUUAAUACUUUUUAAUAUUGACCCCGUUCAUAUCCAUACUAUUUCAGAAACAAGAUAUAACAUUGUGAUACCAUAUAUUAAUACAGUUUGCAAAGAAACGCUUAAUACUUCUACAUGCUCAAGCUGAUUCAUUUGGAAUUGGUUAUAGUUGUAGUUUUAUUUACUUUCUCUUCCUUCAGCCAGUUCCAUUUUAUGUUGCUAGAAUGUUUUCAUCUUUCUCACAAAACAUUGGUAUCCAAUUUUUUGGUUGGCACAUAUGGUUCCUUGUCUAGAUUGAUACUAUUUUAUUGAAGGGCAUUGCAUGGGUUUGGUAACAACAUCUUGUUUUACAUCAGAAGUUGGUCAACUUGCUAUAAUUACUAUAUGUAUAUGUUAUGAUAUAUUGAAAA